rnacentral:piRNA from 1 species
UGAAAGUCGCUAAGAUUGCCUCUGNACCC